rnacentral:rRNA from 1 species
GACGAACGCUGGCGACGCGCUUAACGCAUGCAAGUCGAACGGAAAGGCCUGCUUUCCCUUGUGGAUUGCGGGUACUCGAGUGGCGAACGGGUGAGUAACACGUGAGUGAUCUGCCCCCAACUUGGGUAUAAGCCUGGGAAACUGGGUCUAAUUCCCGAUAGGACUGCAGGGUGGUGCCUGUGGUGGAAAACGAUUUUCUAGUGGUUGGGGAUGAGCUCGCGGCCUAUCAGCUUGUUGGUGGGGUAAUGGCCUACCAAGGCGGCGACGGGUAGCCGGCCUGAGAGGGUGGACGGCCACAGUGGGACUGAGAUACGGCCCAGACUCCUACGGGAGGCAGCAGUGGGGAAUAUUGCACAAUGGGCGGAAGCCUGAUGCAGCGACGCCGCGUGGGGGAUGACGGCCUUCGGGUUGUAAACUCCUUUCGACCGCGAGGAAGCCACCUGGUUGGAAGGGUGGUGACGGUAGUGGUAGAAGAAGCACCGGCUAACUACGUG